rnacentral:rRNA from 1 species
AACGAACGCUGGCGGCAUGCCUAACACAUGCAAGUCGAACGAAGGCUUCGGCCUUAGUGGCGCACGGGUGCGUAACGCGUGGGAAUCUGCCCUUUGGUUCGGAACAACAGCUGGAAACGGCUGCUAAUACCGGAUGAUGACGAAAGUCCAAAGAUUUAUCGCCAGAGGAUGAGCCCGCGUUGGAUUAGGUAGUUGGUGGGGUAAAGGCCUACCAAGCCGACGAUCCAUAGCUGGUCUGAGAGGAUGAUCAGCCACACUGGGACUGAGACACGGCCCAGACUCCUACGGGAGGCAGCAGUGGGGAAUAUUAGACAAUGGGCGCAAGCCUGAUCCAGCAAUGCCGCGUGAGUGAUGAAGGCCCUAGGGUUGUAAAGCUCUUUUACCCGGGAAGAUAAUGACUGUACCGGGAGAAUAAGCCCCGGCUAACUCCGUG